ACCUUUGCACUGCGUGGCUAAGAGCUAUAGCCCGUUAGCACUUUAGUCCUAAGCGAACGCAGCUUGCCUUGCCUUAGAAACUGUUCAUACGAAGAGCAUGCCCUUGCGAUCGAUUGGACUGAGAGACAAAAACACCAUAUGCAGGUGUUGAAGUACGCAGGAGCUGCCUCAGAUAGCCAAUCAGGAUCAACAACACAAAGGUCUCUGAAACAGAUCAAAUAUUUACAUACAAAUAAAUACAACUUUAUAACAAAUCAGAAAAAUCAGGACAAGCUGCUACUAAAAUCUAAAAAAGAAUCUAUGUUGGGUUUUUUCCGUUGGAAAUGACAGUAUUCUCAACCCAAAGAAAAGCAAACUAACCUCAUAUAACACUUUGUUGUCUUCACAAGUUCGUUGUAAAUGACAUAUGCAGGUUUACAUCGAAACAACACAGAUGAGGGGUGAAUAGAUACAGUCUUUCUGGAUGAUAACUGGAUAAAACAUCAAAUCAAGUGAUUAGCUUAGGAUUGUUAUCUAAUAUUAAGGUGGUAUGGGACACCUGCCGAUAUUAAUGAGUAUGAAAGUACAUUAUAAUCAAAAUACUUUCACCGAAUUAGAAUUUCCAAAUUGAACAAUAUUUGACCAAAUAUAUGUCUGAUUUUUUUGUAAAGGUAAAUAUUACAGAAGCUCCAGUGGGAUUCGAACUCAUGACUUACAGAUUCGUACUUAACACUCUAACCAACUGUGCUACGCUGUUAGGUAACGAGUUUGGGAAAGAAACAAUUAUAAAAUUAUCCUUGAUUAUAUUGUUUAUUUCAGUACAAGCAGGUUACAAUACGGAGGUGCCCAAUACCACCUCAAAUGAUAAUGUAAAACAGCAUUUUCAAAUGCAUUCAUAUGCAAGAGGAAUGAUAUUAAUACAUAUAAAUCAUUUUAAAUAUAUAUCAAAGAUUUUCACACCAUUAAAUAAAUCUUUGC
rnacentral:sRNA from 1 species